AUUGAACGCUGGCGGCAGGCCUAACACAUGCAAGUCGAGCGGAUGAAGGGAGCUUGCUCCUGGAUUCAGCGGCGGACGGGUGAGUAAUGCCUAGGAAUCUGCCUGGUAGUGGGGGAUAACGUCCGGAAACGGGCGCUAAUACCGCAUACGUCCUGAGGGAGAAAGUGGGGGAUCUUCGGACCUCACGCUAUCAGAUGAGCCUAGGUCGGAUUAGCUAGUUGGUGGGGUAAAGGCCUACCAAGGCGACGAUCCGUAACUGGUCUGAGAGGAUGAUCAGUCACACUGGAACUGAGACACGGUCCAGACUCCUACGGGAGGCGGCAGUGGGGAAUAUUGGACAAUGGGCGAAAGCCUGAUCCAGCCAUGCCGCGUGUGUGAAGAAGGUCUUCGGAUUGUAAAGCACUUUAAGUUGGGAGGAAGGGCAGUAAGUUAAUACCUUGCUGUUUUGACGUUACCAACAGAAUAAGCACCGGCUAACUUCG
rnacentral:rRNA from 1 species